rnacentral:lncRNA from 1 species
UGGGUCACCAGAUGGUCCUCUUGUUACUUCACCAAGAGUCAGGCUUAGCGAUGGGAGGCAUUUGGCAUACAGAGAGACAGGAGUUUCCAAAGAAGAGGCUAAGUACAAGAUUAUUGUCAUUCAUGGGUUUGACAGCUCCAAAGACUUGAAUUUACCUGCAUCUCACAGUAUAACAAUGAGCUAACUCCNNNNNNNNNNNNNNNNNNNNNNNNNNNNNNNNNNNNNNNNNNNNNNNNNNNNNNNNNNNNNNNNNNNNNNNNNNNNNNNNNNNNNNNNNNNNNNNNNNNNGACAGCUCCAAAGACUUGAAUUUACCUGCAUCUCAAGUAUAACAAUGAGCUAACUCCACUUAUUAAUUGCCAACCACAUUAUAUUCUGUUCUUAAAUUAUGGUUGUUACUCUGUUUACACUUCACAGAUAUGGAAUAAUAGCACUAGGUUGUGAUAUUAUGGUGGGUGGACAUUAAUUUAAGGAUCAGCCACAUUGAGGAAUGGUAUGAAAAACCAUAGAAGAAUUCUAUCUGGAAGUGGUGGACUUUACUAAUGAAAAUAAAUACCGGCUUGCAAUUGAGACAUCAUGUGAAUUGAAAUUUAAGAACCAAGUUUAUUUGUAGGCAUCCUUGUGUAGGAACGAGCUAUGAUAUUCAAUCAGAUCAUGCUAUUACUAGUAGUAGAAUGUGAUACAUGAAAAAAAUUUAUGAUAAUAUCAUAAUACUAAUUUAAAUUAUCUUAUAAAUGUGAUCGAAUGAGAAUGGCAGAGUUUGAGAAGAUUUAUUAGUGCAACAUGAGGUUGAUUUAAUGGCUGAGGUAGAAUACGUAACUAAAUGCUAGUAUCAUAGUUGGUUGAAUUAAUGUGUUUCCUAAGAUGCUUUUUGUGAGUGGUCUUAAUUUCUGGCAAAUGCUUUUUGUGAAACUGGUUUAGCUUGAAAAUUAUGGAAGAGGGAAUGAUUUGAGUAUUGUAAAUCAUAAGUUGUGAUAUUGUGAGGAUAUCAUGGUGGGUUCUAAGAAGAUUGGAGCAAAUAAAAAUAGCUACUUGAAAAGGUUAGGAAGAGUCUUUUUAUACUAUUUAAGGGUGUGUUUGGUACAUAGGAAUAGGAAUGGAGGUGAAUCAAAAUCCCUACAAAAGGGGGUUUUUGUUUUUAUGAUAAUGAUUUUUUAUUCCUAUUCCUAUUUCUAAAAAGUAAUCCAAAUGCAGUAAUGAAUGAGAAAUGAAAUGAAAUUCUCAUUCCUAUUACCACAUGCCAAAUGCAUCCUAUGUGUUUAAUGAAAGCAGUGGUAUUGCAGAAAUUGAGAGGUAGCAUGGUAAAAGAUGCUAUUUUAACCGUGAAUGAGGCCUCUGACAUGAGUAUGAGGAGUGCUUUAGCUGGUGGACAAGCGAGUUGAACAUGGAGAAAGCAUAUACACUUGCUAACUAGGAUUUCCUCCUUUUGCCUUUUUCUUCUAAUGGUAUUAGGGUUGGGUGGAUUAAAUGUUUUGUCUUCUCAGUAUUUGAUAGGAAUCCAAAUAGGUUUAUUUAAGGGGUCUAAGGACCUGUGGUAGGGGGGGUUGAUUUUCCACUUUUCUUUAUUGUCAUAAUGCAGGCUCCUAGUAGGUUGGUGGCAAAGACUGUGGAAGGUGGUUUCAUUUAAGGCUUUCAGGUUGGUUUGAGGGAUGGUGAAGGGUUUUGUAUUUUUGGCUUUCUAUAUGCUCUGAUUAUGCCCUGCUUUUUGUUGGGCAAAUAUAGAACAACCAAGGUAUCAUAAAUUCAUCAUUUUCUGUUUCAAGGUUCUACCAGGUCUGAAGGUUAAACUGGAUAAGACUGAUCUGAUUUCUUUAGCUACUUUGGGUUGCAAAAAGAGAGAUUACUUACUGCUUAUCUAGGGUUCUGUCUGGAGACAUUCUCAAAGACUAAGGCAGUUUGCAACUGAGUGCUGGAGAGGCUUGAGAGGAGAGUAACUCAUUGGAAGCUACCAUACAUUUAUUAAGAGCAUUUUAUUGUUCUUUCCAUUGCUUUUUCUCUACCUUUUCAAUUCUGGCUUCAGUAUGUUAUUGGCUGGAAAGGAUGUAGAGCAUUAUCCCUAAGUGCAGUUAGGGUAGGAGAAAAAGAUCCAUCUGGUGAAUUGAGGGAUUGGGUGAUUUCCAAAUUGACAAAGGGGGAGCUUAAGGGUAAGAAUUUUAGGCUUGCUCAAUAAAGUUCGGCUUGGAAUGUGGUUGUGGAGAUUGGCAGUUGAAAGGGCUGUCUACAGAAAAGGGUGGUUUUCAAAAAAUAUGGAAUUGAAGUAGGAGAUUGCUUCACAGGUUUGGUAAGGGGUCUUCAAGGAAGGGGUUAUCAUGAGAAGGCAUAAGGGCCAGGGCAAAGUUCCCCAGACUAGUCUACUUUUCUCUAAGUAACCAGUAAAUGGUGAAAUCUUGGCAUAAUGGUUGGUGUAGAGACCGCUCUCUAAAGAUGAUAUUCCCAGACUUUUUAGAAUUGCCCUCAAAAUAUAGUUCUCUUUUUUCUCUCUAUCUCUCUCUCUCUCUUUUUUCUUUUUUUAAAUAUUUGGAGGAUUGUUGUCAGUCAGGGGCUGAAGGGCAUUGGAAUGAUGUGUCUUUUUAUGGAGUUUAUCUGCAGUGUUUCAUCUUCUUGGAUUGAGGAGGAUGGGACAAGUGGACGGUGGGUUUCAAAGAGAGGCAAUUUUUGGUAAAAUCCUACUUUGUGGUGCUGUUGUCAAGAUAAAAUGGCCAUUUCCCAGUGUCCAAGAGAAGAACUGUGGCUUCCUAAAAAUAGCCUUCUUUGUUUGCUCAGCAGUAUGGAGAAGAUUUUGACUUCCAAUAACUUGAAGCAGAGGAUGAGCUUGAUUAAAUGGUGUUAUAAGUGCAUAUUGAGUGAAAAGCCUAUACACCAGCCCUUUAUUCAUUGUCUGGAUGCUUGGGAUAUGUGAGCACUUCUCUAUGCCUUAUUUGGGGUUAUUAGGCACUUCUAAGAUUUAUGAAGGAGGUGUUAGCAAGCUGACAAAAUAAAUUCAUUAGCAGAAAUAGAACAAGAAUGGAAGACAAUGCAUUUUGUUAUCAGCAGGGAGCAUUUGGAAGGGAGAGGAAUUACGGAAUAUCUGAGGGGAUUCAAACUAGGAAACACAAGCUUAAAGCAAUUGUUUUGGGAUCCCUAUCCAAGUAUGGAUGAUGUUUGCUUAGCCAGAAGUGUUCACUUUUCUGAUUGCAUUGAUAGUAUGUGGUGUUGAGGGUUUUAAUUGAAGCUUAAUUUUCUUUGAUUAGAGCCUUGUCUAGGCUGUUUCUUUUGAUGCCUUCUAUUUCUGUUUCUUUUUUCUCUUUUCUUUUUAUAUUAUGGGCAUUUUCUAUAGCCUCCAUGUACUUAGGUUCACUCUUAUUGACGCUUUUGUGUGUAGUUAUCUCUACCUAUAAAAAAAAAUAGAAAUUGAUAUGCCAUAAAAGUUUGAUGCUGUUUAUAAUUAAAUGAUAAAGACUAAGUAAUGCAUAGAUAGUCAAGUGGAACAGGAGAUUGGAUAUACCAAAAUAAAAUUCAGGAAAUAGUAUAAAACAAAACAAUCUAAGUAAUUAGGACAUGUGCUGUUUACUGCUUAGCAUGCCUGCAUCUUGUCAUUUAGCAUUUUUGUUUCUUUCCCUCAUCUUCCUUGGCAGAAGUGGAAGGCCUUGUACAUAUCUCAGUUGAAUAUGCUAUGAAAUAUAGUAAAUUUCAACCAUGUAUUGAUCUGCAGGAAC